rfam:Brachypodium distachyon strain Bd21 chromosome 3, whole genome shotgun sequence.
UUAUUACUCCCUCCGUCCUACAACAGAUGUCUCAAUUUUGAUUAAAUUUGAAUGCAUCUAUACACUAAGUCAUGUCUAGAUACAUCCAAAUUUUGACAAACUUGAGACAUCUUUUGUUGGACGGAAGAAUAAUAAU